GAAGGAUGAUUUGAAGAGCUUAUUCAAAGUACACCUGCAUUUAGCUGCGUUAGGCGAUGAGGCCUGGUGGAGUGUUCUUGACGUUCUAAAUGCAUACGGACAGGUAAAAAUCAAAGGACAAAAGGCAGGUGAUAUACCGACACAGUAUGUAUGGCGACUUUUCAAAGUUAAAGAAAACAGUACGAAAUCGAAACUAUUAAGUGCUCUUGCUUCUGGAGAAUUAACAGUUGCCCAGUUCAGAAAGAAGUGUACAAGCCUCCAAGUCCCCUUAAAAGACAAAAGAAACUGACAAAGAAAGCCAGUGACGUUAAGGAGCAUGUUCCAGUGAUGGAAGCUAAGACAGAUCAAGACAUAAAUCCAGGUCCAAAGGAGGAUACAUAUUUGAGCUCCCAUGUUCCGUAAAAAGACAAAGGAAUCUGACAAAGAAUGCCAGUGACUCUAAGAUUGCUUUGGUAGAGUACAACCAAGGUAGAGUGUAUUAUGUUCUCCGAGAUCCAGAGGACACAAACAAGGGAACUUAUUUCAAAGCUCCGAUUGGAUAUAUUAAAUAUGGACUCUUUUGUCAUAAACCAACAAAACUGUCUUUUGUUUUAAACAAAAAGGACGUACAAUCAGUUGACAGAAAAUUUAUCAUUUGUGAAUUUACCGGGGUUAUAGAGGAUGGCAUCAUACGAGUUAAUAAGAUGUCAAUAUCUCCACAAGAACAAGUACUCCUUAUUUCAAACUAUGUGUAACAGUGUUGAACUUUGUAAUGUAAUGUUUUGUUAUUUUGUCUCUCACCACACAGUUAUGUGGAAGACAUAUUGAUUUACCCCUCUGACUGUCUGUCUGUCUGUCACAAAUCUUGUCCACGCUCUAAGUCGAACAUCUCUCCGAUCUUCAUCACAAAAAUGUGUUUAACCAUAAAUCCUCUGCCAAAUUCGAUAAAUAGCCAAACUGAUAGCCACUUUGGUAUUAUUGCCCUUGCAUCACCGAAUAUCGGCUUUUUUACACUAAGUCUGUGCUUUUAAGUCGAAUAGUUUUCACAAAAGUAUGCCCUUUUCGACUUCGAAGGUUUUUGGAAAGGCUUUAAAUGUUAGCUUGUAUCUAAGUACCACCUAAAUGAACAGAUUGAAUCUUCACACAUUCGGUCACUGUGGUGAUCUGGCAUGUAGUUUACAGGUUCCAUAACUCUCUUUUGUGUUUUUUAUAAAUCAUGCCCCUUUUUCGACUCGUAUGUCAUUGGUUAAGAUUUUGUAUGAAAGCUGGUAUCUAACACAACACGCCGUAGACACGUGGCAUGAUACCCCACCCAGUCACAUUAUACUGACACCGGGCUGACCAGUCCUAGCACUAUCCUCUUAAUGCUGAGCGCCAAGCGAGGAAGCUACUAGUGCCAUUUUUUACGUCUUUGGUAUGACGCGGCCGGGAAUCGAACCCACGACCUCCCGCACUCGACCCUGUUUUGUACUUACCGGUACUUACCGGAUAUUUGGUAAGUUGAAUAUGUAAGCUGGUAUCUCAGUUCCCACUAAUGGGACUGGAUUUAAAAUUCUCACAAUCGUCCGUUUUCGUGAGUUAAUAUGCAGUACACAUGUUCCUUAAUUCUGUUUUGCAAUUUUACAGAAUUAUGACCCUUUUUAAUUUGAAUAUUCAUUCAGCUGACAAGCCUGUUGAAUAGUCAAGCGUUGCUGUCAUUCGUCAACUGUUGUUUUUUUAAAUACUUUCUCUGUUACUGUUUUAAUGACGUUCUUAACGUCCCGUUUCAAAAUGCCCUCGGUGACAAACUUUAAAACAGUGUAGAGCUUAAAAUAGUGAAGAUAAUCACUUCAGAUUUGAAAGAUAAAAGAAUGAUUUUCAUGAAUGUUUUGUUAUCUGAAUUUUGAUUUUUUUUUUAUUAUGUAUUUGUUGGCGGAUUGACUUUUGUUAUCUGCAUCUUUUUUUUUAAUAACCUUUUUGUAGCAUGUAUCUUUUAUCUUAAACAUAAAAUGUUUUGCUGUACAAGUUAACAAUGCCGAAUGCAGGCCCACACUUUUAGAACUCGGCAUCGUUUCAGUUUUUAUAGAAAACCAUGAAUGUUUGAGAAACGCUUGUAACUUGUAAGAUUGUUUGUUUCCAGGAAUAGUGUUAAUGAUUUCGGCAAGAAUCAAGGUGCAUUUUAAUUGUUCUCGAAGAAUUUAUACAAAAUGCUUGAAAGUUUGCCAAAACGUUCGUAAUAUGUAUCGUUCCUCAAUCGUACAUACAUAUUCGGAAACAAUCGGUUUUGUACAAAAAUGGCGAAAAACCACAGUUGCUUCUUUUUUUUUUCAGGAAAAAAAGUCGUGCUUAUUUUAGAAAUUAUUUAUAAUAUCCCUCUCAGUAAUUUGCCGCUGAAAAAUCAUUGUUUGGUGUUCAGAUGCGUGAGAAUUAUGUCACCCGGGCGCGCAGGCUCAGUGAUAUAAUAAUACACAUCUUAACGACAUACAAUGAUUUUAGUCAAGAGCAAAACAUUAAAAGACAUAUAUUUACUCUAUUCUAAUAGGUUACCAAUGAUUUUAAAGUACAUCGUUGUCGACAUCUGUUAAAUAUGUGUCUGUUUUUCUUGGUUUCUUAUCUAGCGCGCCGGUACCGUUUGACGCUAAGUAGAUAUCUAAAUUGAAAAUAAAAUAUACAACAAAAUAAAAUGAUAACUCCAUUAUAUCCUUUAAUAAUAUCUUAAACCUUUAUUUUCUCCAUAUGGCGUAAAGAACAUAAAAAGAAGUUGAAAUAAUGACGAUUAUGAUGAUAAGUCAAUCCAUGAUUUAGUCUGUUAAUAUAUAUACAAAAAAAAAACAGACGUUCUUUAAGUCCCCAGUGUUUGUCAUCGGCCUGUCUGACACAUAUUACAAAUCUUUCAUCUGAACAUUUCGUUUACUAUAUUGUAUUCAUAUUUUUUUCAUGUUCCCAAAUGUACUGUUUGAAAAUAUUUUAUAUAACCAUUAUAUAAGACUUUGUAUUGUAUCAUCUGUACUCCAAAUAACUAGAAUGUUAUUAUCCUUUAAAACUGUGUUUCUGUUAUUUAUAAUAACCAAAUUUUGAGUUGUAUAAAAAUAUUGGUAAUUUCUCUUUGUAAUGAAAAGAUAAAAGCUUUUUUAAAAACAUUUAGUAUAUUCUUUAGUAGUGUUCUUGAUUACUGGGUCUGGUUUUAUAUAUCUAAAACAUGUUGACCGUUUUCCAA